AAUUCUUAGCGGUAUUUCGUCUGCCGCUACGUUCUGAGUUCAAAUUCCACCGAGGUCGACUUUGCCUUUCAUCCUUUCAGGGCCGAUAAAUUGAGUACCAGUUGCAUAGUGGAGUCGAUUUAACUGACUGGCCUCCUCCCU